CUAAGUUCAGCGGGUAGUCCUACUCGAUUUGAGGUCAAGUUGUCAGAUGUGUCCGAAGACGGUUUGAAGCACAGAGCUCCCGAUCGGCCACCCUCUAAUGAGGCGCUGGCGAAGAUACUUAUCACGCCGUACUAUGUCCAACCAAGAGUUGCACUAAUGCAUUUGAGGUGAGCCACAGUAAAGCAGCAACACCCAAGUCC
rnacentral:misc_RNA from 1 species